CCUACGGGAGGCAGCAGUGAGGAAUAUUGGUCAAUGGACGAGAGUCUGAACCAGCCAAGUAGCGUGAAGGAUGACUGCCCUAUGGGUUGUAAACUUCUUUUAUAAAGGAAUAAAACGAGGCACGUGUGCCUUUUUGCAUGUACUUUAUGAAUAAGGAUCGGCUAACUCCGUGCCAGCAGCCGCGGUAAUACGGAGGAUCCGAGCGUUAUCCGGAUUUAUUGGGUUUAAAGGGAGCGUAGAUGGGUUGUUAAGUCAGAUGUGAAAGUUUGUGGCUCAACCAUAAAAUUGCGAUUGAAACUGGCGGUCUUGAGUACAGUUGAGGCAGGCGGAAUUCGUGGUGUAGCGGUGAAAUGCUUAGAUAUCACGAAGAACCCCGAUUGCGAAGGCAGCUUACUAAACUGUGACUGACGCUGAUGCUCGAAAGUGUGGGUAUCGAACAGGAUUAGAUACCCCUGUAGUC
rnacentral:rRNA from 1 species